UCCUGGUUGGGUCAGUGUCAUGAACACUGUGGCAUGGCCCUGGCAGGGAACAUUAUUGUAGAGCAGCCCACACAACAGGGGAACUGAGGUUACUAGUAGCAUAAGAUCAAAGCUAUAGCUCCAGUCUUUAAAGUCACGUGUCAGUGAUACAAUGGUGACUUUGUAACUCAAAAGAAUUCCCCCAAUUUCUUCGUUAAGAUUGAAAUCUUUUACAUAGAAAAACAAUUGGUAAAUUGUAGUGGAACUUGACAUAAGAGCAUCCAUCUUGGAAGAAACAUAAGGACAUCUGAGUGCCUGGCAAGCCGGUCAUCUCAGGACAAGAAAUGCAAGCAAUUCUUGUUUAUCCCUUGUAAAUCUCCCAAGAGGAUGUACACAAAGUAAAAGAUGUUUUUUAAGGGGUUAGAAGGACAAAGUAAAAAACAAAGUUGUUUUUGUGAACACAGCUGGCCAACAUAUUACAUAACUUCAGAUAUAAGAUAAAAUGCUAAAAACAUGCUUGUCGUCUGAUGCUCUGAACAGCUUCAAUAAAUACUGCAGCUGUGAUCAUGAGGCUGCUGUUUGCCUGAGCGAGCUGCAGUCCUCUGAUCCUGUUCCCCACUUCUUGCCUCUCAUUUUGCAACACCGACACCGAGACACUCGGGGAAUCAGCGACAUUUGGCGCCCCAACAGGGACUCAGCAGCUCUCCGUGUCUCCUCUAGAAGGAGACCUCAACAAGAACAGGGACCUGAGGACUUGAAGACUCAGGGACUCAAAGACGAUCUCGCUCCCCCGAUGGUCAAACUGAGACUGACAGGGAGAGGAACACAGGUGUGA
rnacentral:lncRNA from 1 species